rnacentral:rRNA from 1 species
AUGUUAGCGGCGGACGGGUGAGUAACACGUGGGUAACCUGCCUGUAAGACUGGGAUAACUCCGGGAAACCGGAGCUAAUACCGGAUAGUUCCUUGAACCGCAUGGUUCAAGGAUGAAAGACGGUUUCGGCUGUCACUUACAGAUGGACCCGCGGCGCAUUAGCUAGUUGGUGGGGUAAUGGCUCACCAAGGCGACGAUGCGUAGCCGACCUGAGAGGGUGAUCGGCCACACUGGGACUGAGACACGGCCCAGACUCCUACGGGAGGCAGCAGUAGGGAAUCUUCCGCAAUGGACGAAAGUCUGACGGAGCAACGCCGCGUGAGUGAUGAAGGUUUUCGGAUCGUAAAGCUCUGUUGUUAGGGAAGAACAAGUGCGAGAGUAACUGCUCGCACCUUGACGGUACCUAACCAGAAAGCCACGGCUAACUACGUGCCAGCAGCCGCGGUAAUACGUAGGUGGCAAGCGUUGUCCGGAAUUAUUGGGCGUAAAGGGCUCGCAGGCGGUUUCUUAAGUCUGAUGUGAAAGCCCCCCGGCUCA